rnacentral:rRNA from 1 species
AUUGAACGCUGGCGGCAGGCCUAACACAUGCAAGUCGAGCGGAGCGGCGGACGGGUGAGUAAUGCCUAUGAAUCUGACUGGUAGUGGGGGCUAACGUCCGGAAACGGGCGCUAAUACAGAAUACUAUCAGCUGUGCCUAGGUCGGAUUAGAUAGUUGGUGGGGGAAAGGACUACCAAGGCGACGAUCCGUGACUGGUCUGAGAGGAUGACCAGUCACACUGGAACUGAGACACGGUCCAGACUCCUACGGGAGGCAGAAGUGGGGAAUAUUGGACAAUGGGCGAAAGCCUGAUGCAGCCAUGCCGCGUGUGUGAAGAAGGUCUUCGGAUUGUAAAGCACUUUAAGUUGGGAGGCGUUACCAGCAGAAUAAGCACCGGCUAACUUCGUGCCAGCAGCCGCGGUAAUAC